rnacentral:rRNA from 1 species
AUACGGAGGGUGCAAGCGUUACUCGGAAUCACUGGGCGUAAAGCGCGCGCAGGCGGUCUUUUAAGUUGGAUGUGAAAGCCUACGGCUCAACCGUAGAACUGCAUCCAAAACUAUUAGACUAGAGUGUGGGAGAGGAAGAUGGAAUUAGUUGUGUAGGGGUAAAAUCCGUAGAGAUAACUAGGAAUACCAAAAGCGAAGGCAAUCUUCUGGAACACUACUGACGCUGAGGCGCGAAAGCGUGGGGAGCAAACAGGAGUAGAAACCCCAGUAGUCC